rnacentral:tRNA from 1 species
AUUUUAAUAGCUUAUAUUUAGAGCAUAAUAUUGAAGAUAUUAAGGAGAUUUUUGUCUUAAGAUA